UACGUAGGGUGCAAGCGUUGUUCGGAAUUACUGGGCGUAAAGCGUGUGUAGGUGGCUCGUUAAGUCUGGUGUGAAAGCCCUGAGCUCAACUCAGGAAUUGCAUCGGAAACUAACAAGCUGGAGUCCGGGAGAGGGUAGUGGAAUUCCUGGUGUAGAGGUGAAAUUCGUAGAUAUCAGGAGGAACACCGGUGGCGAAGGCGGCUACCUGGACCGGUACUGACACUGAGGCACGAAAGCGUGGGGAGCAAACAGG
rnacentral:rRNA from 1 species